rnacentral:tRNA from 1 species
GCGGCUGUAGCUCAAUGGAUAGAGUGCCUGACUACGAAUCAGAAGGUUGAAGGUUCGAGUCCUUCCAGCCGCGCCA